CUGCCAUGGCAUCAAGUGAAGCAAUAUUGUGUAAUGAAAAGAAAAAAAAUUCAGCAACUGCAAAAUUAUCAAAAAGCGCUGAGAUACAGAGCAGAAUACUGACAAGUGUUUGACUCCAGUCUCCCUGCCUUUAAUGAGGGCUCAGAAAGUGUUCUUUGAGAAGUGAUCCCUUGAAACCCUGCUCGACUUCUGGUUUAAAUCUAUGACCUUUUAUUGCAACAGGA